UACGGAGGGUGCAAGCGUUAUCCGGAUUCACUGGGUUUAAAGGGCGCGUAGGUGGGCAGGUAAGUCAGUGGUGAAAUCUUCGAGCUUAACUCGGAAACUGCCGUUGAUACUAUUUGUCUUGAAUACCGUGGAGAUGAGCGGAAUAUGUCAUGUAGCGGUGAAAUGCUUAGGUAUGACAUAGAACACCAAUUGCGAAGGCAGCUCGUUACACGAAUAUUGACUCUGAGGCUCGAAAGCGUGGGGAUCAAACAGG
rnacentral:rRNA from 1 species